rnacentral:rRNA from 1 species
UAAGACGUAGGGGGCCAGUGUUGCUCGGAAUUACUGGGUGUAAAGGGUUCGUAGGCGGUGUGGCAAGUCGGGAGUGAAAUCUCUGGGCUCAACCCAGAGGCUGCUUCCGAAACUGCUGUGCUUGAGUGUGGGAGAGGCGCGUGGAAUUGCAGGUGUAGCGGUGAGAUGCGUAGAUAUCUGCAGGAACACCCGUGGCGAAAGCGGCGCGCUGGACCACAACUGACGCUGAGGAACGAAAGCUAGGGGAGCAAACAGGAUUAGAUACCCUGGUAGUCCUAGCCCUAAACGAUCAGGACUUGGGGUGCCGCACGUUCGUGCGUCGUCCCGGAGCUAACGCGUUAAGUCCUGCACCUGGGGAGUACGGUCGCAAGACUGAAACUCAAAGGAAUUGACGGGGGCCCGCACAAGCGGUGGAACAUGUGGUUCAAUUCGACGCUACGCGAGGAACCUUACCUGGGCUCGAAAUGCUUAUGACCAGCUGUAGAAAUACGGCCUUCCCGCAAGGGACAUGAGUAUAGGCGCUGCAUGGCUGUCGUCAGCUCGUGCCGUGAGGUGUUGGGUUAAGUCCCGCAACGAGCGCAACCCCCUGCACGCAGUUACUACUCGCAAGAGAGGACUCUGCGUGGACUGCUCCGGAUAACGGAGAGGAAGGUGGGGAUGACGUCAAGUCCGCAUGGCCUUUAUGUCCAGGGCUACACACGUGUUACAAUGCAGGGCACAAACCGUUGCCAACCCGCGAGGGGGAGCUAAUCGGAAAAAACUCUGCUCAGUUCGGAUUGCAGUCUGCAACUCGACUGCAUGAAGCCGGAAUCGCUAGUAAUGGCGUAUCAGAUCGACGCCGUGAAUACGUUCCCGGGCCUUGUACACACCGCCCGUCACAUCACGAAAGUGAGUUGUACUAGAAGUCGCCGCGAUAACCGCAAGGAGGCAGGCGCCCAAGGUAUGACCCAUGAUUGGGGUG